rnacentral:rRNA from 1 species
UACGUAGGGUGCAAGCGUUGUUCGGAAUUACUGGGCGUAAAGCGUGCGUAGUCGGUAUUGAGAGUCGCGGGUGAAAUCCCAGGGCUUAACCCUGGAACUGCCUGCGAGACCUCAGUACUAGAGUGUGAGAGGGGAUAGUGGAAUACCAAGUGUAGCGGUGAAAUGCGUAGAGAUUUGGUGGAACACCGGUGGCGAAGGCGGCUAUCUGGCUCACAACUGACGAUCAGGCACGAAAGCGUGGGGAGCAAACAGG